UACGUAGGGACCAAGCGUUGUUCGGAUUUACUGGGCGUAAAGGGCGCGUAGGCGGCGUGACAAGUCACUUGUGAAAUCUCUGAGCUUAACUCAGAACGGCCAAGUGAAACUGUUGUGCUAGAGUGCAGAAGGGGCAAUCGGAAUUCUUGGUGUAGCGGUGAAAUGCGUAGAUAUCCGGAGGAACACCGGUGGCGAAGGCGGCUUCCUGGACCGACACUGACGCUGAGGCGCGAAAGCUAGGGGAGCAAACGGG
rnacentral:rRNA from 1 species